rnacentral:rRNA from 1 species
UACAGAGGGUGCAAGCGUUAAUCGGAUUUACUGGGCGUAAAGCGCGCGUAGGUGGCCAAUUAAGUCAAAUGUGAAAUCCCCGAGCUUAACUUGGGAAUUGCAUUCGAUACUGGUUGGCUAGAGUAUGGGAGAGGAUGGUAGAAUUCCAGGUGUAGCGGUGAAAUGCGUAGAGAUCUGGAGGAAUACCGAUGGCGAAGGCAGCCAUCUGGCCUAAUACUGACACUGAGGUGCGAAAGCAUGGGGAGCGAACAGG